CCAGUCCCAGUUUGGGGGCACAGGUGAUGCCAGUCCCAGUUUGGGGGCUCAGGUGAUGCCAGUCCCAGUUUGGGGGUUCAGGUGAUGCCAGUCCCAGUUUGGGGGUUCAGGUGGUGCCAGUCCCAGUUUGGGGGUGCAGGUGAUGCCAGUCCCAGUUUGGGGGCUCAGGUGAUGCCAGUCCCAGUUUAGGGGCACAGGUGAUGCCAGUCCCAGUUUAGGGGCACAGGUGAUGCCAGUCCCAGUUUAGGGGCACAGGUGAUGCCAGUCCCAGUUUGGGGGUUCAGGUGAUGCCAGUCCCACUUUAGGGGCUCAGGUGAUGCCAGUCCCAGUUUGGGGGCUCAGGUGAUGCCAGUCCCAGU